rnacentral:rRNA from 1 species
GACGAACGCUGGCGGCGUGCCUAAUACAUGCAAGUAGGACGCAGUUGCGAACGGGUUAGUAACGCGUAGGUAACUACCUAUUAGAGGGGGAUAACUAUUGGACACGAUAGCUAAUACCGCAUACUAGUAGAUGGACCUGCGGUGUAUUAGCUAGUAGGUAGGGUAAUGGCCUACCUAGGUAACGAUACAUAGCCGACCUGGGAGGGAUGUCGGCCACACGGGGACUGAGACACGGCCCAGACUCCUACGGGAGGGAGCAGUAGGGGAUCUUAGGCAAUGGGGGGAACCCUGACCAAGCAAAGCCGGGUGAGUGAAGAAGGUGUUCGGAUCGUAAAGCGCUUGUGUUAAGGAAGCGGUACUUAACCAGAAAGGGACGGCUAACUACGUGCCAGCAGCCGCGGUAAUUC